rnacentral:rRNA from 1 species
ACAACGGGGCAAUGCUUAGUACGGCGAGUGAGCGGCAAAAGCUCAAAUUUGAAAUCUGGUACCUUCGGUGCCCGAGUUGUAAUUUGGAGAGGGCAACUUUGGGGCCGUUCCUUGUCUAUGUUCCUUGGAACAGGACGUCAUAGAGGGUGAGAAUCCCGUGUGGCGAGGAGUGCGGUUCUUUGUAAAGUGCCUUCGAAGAGUCGAGUUGUUUGGGAAUGCAGCUCUAAGUGGGUGGUAAAUUCCAUCUAAAGCUAAAUAUUGGCGAGAGACCGAUAGCGAACAAGUACAGUGAUGGAAAGAUGAAAAGAACUUUGAAAAGAGAGUGAAAAAGUACGUGAAAUUGUUGAAAGGGAAGGGCAUUUGAUCAGACAUGGUGUUUUGUGCCCUCUGCUCCUUGUGGGUAGGGGAAUCUCGCAUUUCACUGGGCCAGCAUCAGUUUUGGUGGCAGGAUAAAUCCAUAGGAAUGUAGCUUGCCUCGGUAAGUAUUAUAGCCUGUGGGAAUACUGCCAGCUGGGACUGAGGACUGCGACGUAAGUCAAGGAUGCUGGCAUAAUGGUUAUAUACCGCCAGUCUUGAAACCA